rnacentral:misc_RNA from 1 species
AAAAGAUCUAGCCCGAAGUGGGACUGAGAGGUCGGUGUUUCCCCGGUCACUCUAACCCAUGCCGGGUUUUCUCACCUCAAAAGUGAGUCAACAUUAUGUGAACUGUUCUGUCUCUGGCGGUGGGGUGGUGUCAAAACUACCUGUCAGCAUCCGGGUUCUCUCGGUGUGCCGUGGACAAGCCGUCAAUGGUGUAUGUUUCAUACAAACUUUUGUUCAUCAAUCUGUCUGACAUACCUUUGUAUCUAAAAUAUACAAAAA